GGGGUUGUGACUUAGCCAUAUGGUGCCGGCUUAGUAAGCAGGAAUCCUGAGUUCAAACCUCAGCACCUCCA
rnacentral:tRNA from 1 species